ensembl:lncRNA
CCGUUACUGGUGCUAUGACUGGCUGAACUGAGUAUUUCAGAAACUGCUGAUCUCCUAGGAUUUUCAAGUCUGUAGAAUUUACAAAAUAAAAAACACUGAGUGAGCAAGAGUUCUGCAGCCAGAAAUGCCUUGUUGUUGAGAGAGGUCAGAGUAGAAUGCUCAGAAUGGUUCAAGUUGAUAGAAAGUCUGUGUUAGUUCAAUUUUUAUUUUUUUUGGCGUGAUUUAGCCAAAAGUAUGUGGACACCUGAUCAUCACACCCCAUAUCUGAUUCCUCCACAAACUGUUGCCACCAAGUUAAAAGCACACAAUUGUAUAUGAUGUCUUUGUAUGCUGUAGCAUUACGAUUUAAAUCCCUUCACUGGGACGAAGAGGCCCAAUCCUGUUCCAGCAUGACAAUGCCUCUGUGCACAAAGUGAGCUCCGUGAAGACAUGGUUUGCCAAAGUUGGAGUGGAAGAACUCAAGUGUCCUGCACAGAGCCCUGACCUCAACCUCAGUGAACACCUUCAGGAUGCACUAGAACACCGACUGCACAUCAGGCCUCCUCACCCAACAUCAGUGCCUGACCUCGCUGAAGAGAUAUGUUCUGACUGGGCUGCAGAAAGGAAGUGCGAUCGAUGCUGUGUUUACUCGGAAGAGAAGAGCACAUUUAAACAAAUAAAAUGAUCAAAAACAGAGCAAUGGCAAUUUAAUCAAAUAUUUAUUCAGUUUAUUCAAAUAUUGAACAGGAUACAAUAUGUAUAGAGUGAUAAGUGAGGAGAUCACUGUGACUCGUGUCAAACAUUCCAACAUGCUCAGAGAUGGUGUGUGCUGCUGCUGAUGAUGAUGAUGAUGAUGGCAUGCAGUUAAAUCGAUGUAAACACUCUUUGCUACAGGUGCUAAACCCUACAUGUGUAUAGGUGAUAUGUCCUCUAGCCCUUCAGUCAAACCUGGGCACACACCAUUGAGAUAAAAAGCCUACAUAUAUUUAUAUAUAUACAUAUACGAGAUUCUGACCCUUGUCUUAAGGCUCAACGAGAAGCAGUAUGAAGACCAGUGCCACUCUGAGAGUUUGAUGUAAUCACAAUAUAUAAGCUGAAAUUGAUAUUUGGGCUGUAAACAUUCAAAGAACUAAGGACUAUCAUUUGAGGCCAAAAUUAAAUACACAAAUAUGACACAAUUUAUUAAUAGUAUCGUCCCUCUAGAGUUCACUGAAAGUGUGAAAAUGUAUUUGCCCCAAUAGUUACUAAUUCCCCAAAUCUAUGACACUGCAUUUAUACUGAGGUUCAGUUGGACUAGACGCAACCAGGCCUGAUUACUGCAAACCCUGUUCAAUCAAAUCAACACUUAAAUAGAACUUUUACAACAGCAUGAAGUUGGUUAAAAGAUCUUACUCAGUAACACACUGUGCCAAAAAUGAAAGAAAUUCCAGAAAUGAUGAGGAAGAAGGUGAUUGAAAUACAUCAGUACUGGGAGGGGUUACAAAGCGAUUUCAAAGGCUCUGGGACUCCAAAGAACCAGACUGAGAGCCACUAUCUCCAAACGGAAAAACUCGUUUCAAAAUUCCAAAAUUCCUCCAAGAGCACAGCAACUAUUCAUCCAGGAAGUCACAAAAGAACCAAGGACAACAUCAAAGAACAUACAGGCCUCUCUUGCAUGAAUAAAGGACACUGUUCAUGACUCCACUAUCAGAAAGACACUGUGCAAAAAUGGCAUCCAUGGAAGAGUGGUGAGGUGAAAACCCCUGCUAACCCAGAACAUUAUUAAAGCUCGUCUGAAUUUUGCCAAAACACACCUUGAUGAUCCUCAAAUCUUUUGGGAGAAUGUUCUACAGAUGGAUAAGUCAAAAGUGGAACUGUUUGGAAGACAGGGGUGCCGUUACAUCUGGCGUAAACCAAACACAGAAUUACACAAAAAAAACAUCAUGCCUAUGGUCAAGCGUGGUGGUGGUAGUGUGAUGAUGUGGGGAUGCUUUGCUGCUUCCUGGCCUGGGCAACUUGCAAUAACUGAGGGAAACAUGAAUUCUGCUCUCUACCAGAAGCUCUCUAGCAGAACAUUUUACUUUCUCUAGAGAAAGUAGAAUGUCCGGUCUUCAGUCCAUAAUUUGAAACUGAAGAGCAACUGGAUUAUGCAGCGAGACAAUGAUCCAAAGCAUAGGAGUAAGACUUAGUCCUAGAAGUAAGCGAAAGACUGAUCUCCAGUUUUCGGAAGCAUUUAUUUGCAGUUAUUGCUGCUAAAGGUGGCUAAAAAUGUCUUUUUUCUUUGUUAUACCAUGUUAUAUCAUAUCAGAUUUGACAGCAAAGAAAAUUUUCUGUCCCUGAUUUUUUUUUCUGGUUUAAAGGCAAGUGCUUGUGUUUAAAGUCAGUUGUCUAGACACUACUGGAAAAACCCUGUCUCAGAUGCUUCUACUCAAGAAAAAUCUGCCAACCUUGGAGAUGUGAACUAAAUUUCCCCACGUAAAUUUUGACGAAACCUUUGGACGCAAGUCACCAACUCUGAAUAUGGCCCAGUGUAAAUAUCCUGGUGUGUUUUUUAAAGAUUUUCCAAAUCUGUCACACUACAGUCAAAUUUAAUUGAAAAAUCUCAAUUUGAUAUACUUUCCGGAUCAUAAGAAGCACCUACUUUAAUUCUAGUAUUUGUUCUGCUUAGAAAAUUACCAGUACGGUAACUCUAAUUUUAAUUGAAAUUCUAGCUUAUGCUGUGUUCUGUUAUAUUUGGAAGAUAGGACCUUUCAACUUGGAAAAUGUGCAGUCCACCUGUCAGUCAGAUCUCCUAACUGGAAACUCAGAUGAAAUCCAUUUUGCACCAGGUUACUGAUAUAAACAUAGCUGACAUCAAUCUGGAUCACUCUAAUUAAGCCCUGGUAGCACAUAAAAUAUAUUUGUCUUACAGUGGAUACUACAACUGUCUAAUAUUAAAUGUAAGACAAAUCAUACAGUCUUACAGUAAUUGCUUUAACACAUCAUGCAUUCAGAGUCUUUUUACAAUCAGAUAUAAUCACACUAUUAUCAUAUACAGUAUCUUCCAUCCAUCCAUCUUCUACCGCUUACUCCUUUUCAGGGUCACGGGGGAACCUGGAGCCUAUCCCAGGGAGCAUCGGGCACAAGGCGGGGUACACCCUGGACAGGGUGCCAGUCCAUCACAGGGCACACUCACACACACACAUUCACACACAAAUUCAUACACUACGGACACGUUGGACAUGCCAGUCAGCCUACCACGCAUGUCUUUGGACUGGGGGAGGAAACCGGAGUACCCGGAGGAAACCCCCGCAGCACGGGGAGCAUACAGUAUCUUUUUGUGUAAAUAGUUAUUUAAUGUUGUGUUACUGUAGUUAUUAAUUCACAUCCUCCUACAAUGCUUGCCAAUCAUCAGGUUUCCAUACAAAACCAUAAAAAUAAAAAAAAGUCAGGAGUAGCAAUUCGGCUAUAUAUUGGGACUUCUAAGAACAACAGAACACAGCAUUAAGACACCAUAUACACUAAUAGUGCUUUUUCCACCAGACAGCAACCGUGCAAUAACAACUCCAAGACCAUCCAUAUCCUGGUUGAGUUUCUGUAACUGUUAAAAUGGGCAGAGUUUCUCUCGAGGGUGUGGGGGUGGAGACUAGUGAUGUGAUGAGCAUGAUUAGUAAAAUACUAUACUAGUACCAUUUUAUUAUUUGAUUUUCUUUAACAUGGAAUUUAGAAAAACAAAAAAAAACAAGACCACAGUUCAUUUUGGGUUAAAGUGUUUGUGUGCCUCCAACUGCAUGACACAGCGAGUUUUAAUGGCAGCAAGUAACCUAAACAAGGCAAGGGUGCCAAUAUUUUAAUCUUUCUUAAAAAAACAAACAAACAAAAAAACAAUUACAGAGGCUGUUGAGCGCAAACAUUGUCUGGUGAAAUUUUCCAUGGUUGAAUUUGUGUUUUAUUGGUCAUGCAGUACAUUCGGAUGAAGGAGCACAUCCAGUGAUUUAGAAGCUAACUGGGAUUCAAUAUUUGAAGAUGGUGUAAAGAAAUCUAAAGUAAUGUCUGGUAGAAAAGUCACUCUAGUCAGAGACGAUUCUGGCAUCGUUGUGUUUGACCAAUCAGUGAUCAGUACUGUUAGCUCCGCCCCCACACAUCCCUGCUCAGUUCUCUUGUUACCCUGCGAGAAAGGCAUCUAAGUUAUGUACUUGGUCACAGUACAUCUAAAUAAGAAGGCAAAAUAAGAGAUUAUUUACUGAAACAAGCUGCACUGCCUGGUGGAAAAACCACAGCAGGUGUUGAAGAUAAAAUUGCAUCUUAUAAUCCGGAAAAUAGCGCAAUAUAUAAUAUUGUACUCCUUUAUACCAGUUAAUGAUAUACACUCUAACAGUACUUUUCUCCUGAUAUCCAACAACAGCGCAACAAACACAGAUCAUGUGCAUAGUAACAGUGUUAAAAACCACACAACAUUCUGAGCCAAGCACUCGGUCAACAUGCAAGAAGCGAAAUGCAGAAAACCUGACAUACUCGUGCUCAAACACAAAAACUCCUCACCGUGGAAGCACGAAACUCUAACAUCAGGGUGAGUGUGUGUGUGUGUGUGUGGCAUAAAGGAAGUUCAGUGGCAGAAAAGCAGCAGCCACAAGCACAAUGAUAUACAGUUAAAGAAGAGCAAAAGGCCAGAAGCAAACAAAAUCAUCUCUCUCUCUCUCUCUCUCUCUCACUCUCACACACACACACACACACACAAACUACUGUUAUAACCUACGGCAGCUCAAGCAUAAAUUAUCCUACUUUAGCUAUAUAAGUAUCAAAAAGUUACAAUGAUGAAAUGUAAGGCAUACAUUUAUGUUCAAAAAGUUCAAUCAAGUCAUGCAUAGAUUGUAAAAGUUAUUGUAUUUCUCUAAAAAAAAAAAAAAAAGAUGCAAUCUAUACGUCUAAUAUUGAAAUGUCAAUAACUAAUACACUUUCUACAUGACCACAUCUUUUUUUUUGUUCUUCUUUUUUUUCUCAAAGAUGCACCAGUUUGUAAUAUUUUGGUAAACUAUCAGUUCAUAAUAAAAAGGUUUGCAUGGAUUGCAAACACUGAAGAAAUUUGUUUGUUAUAUAUAUCAUCCUGAAAAAACAAGGAACCACAUCAAAUGUAGAAUAAUUCACAAUGUCCCCGUUACUGAAAACGUAAACAACAGGUUUGGUGUCGGAUAUAAAGGGUGCGUCUCAAUCAGCUCCCUCGGCCAUGAAUAUAUAAAAUAUGGUGUACAUGAGUUGGGGCACUGGUGAGGACCCUGGCUCACUACACGUUGGGACACUGAUGACUCAAUUUCCCACGACAUGACUACGUACUCGUGUUGUAAAACGUCACCACUGGCAUUUAACAACGACAGGCAGGAGCGAUAUCUUUCUGACAUUAUAUGUCAGAUAAAAUUUGUUAGCUUAAUCACAUGUGUUCCCGUCACGAUAUUUGAAGCAGGAUAGUAGGCUAGUUCGUUUUUUCAACUGUUAAACACUUAAAAGUCGUUAUACUCAGACAAACUAUAUACAGAACAUCAAAUAAAGUUAAAAAUCACUAACGUAUGUAAUCAUUUGAGAGCCACAACUACUUAAAUAUGUAGACGAAGUUGACUGAGAGGUCGUCCGGCAUUUUGGUUUUUUUUUUACGAGCUUUGAGGCUUCAGAAUAUAUGACGUCAUUUCCAGUAAGUGAACAUAGUGAGCAUCGAUGCUCCCUGGUUCUUACGGUGAAUUGUGGGAUCUUUUUAGAUAGCGAACAUUUCAGUGCACUGGAAAGAUUUUGCGAUUGAGACAGCCCUUAAAAUGGCCGACUUCCUCAUCAGUGCCCUGACUACUGAACUAGGGACCUGAUUGAGACGCACCCUUAUUGUUAUCCACUGCAGUUACAAGGCUAAUGUAGCUAUUAAGUAAUAGAAGCUUAUAGCCACCAUUCUGGCAUGGUGCAUGUCUAAGUCACCUCAAAGGGCAUCUCACUAAACACCAGUUGUACACUCCAUAUUAAAUUGAAUAGAAAUAUAACUAUUAUCUUAAACUUAAGAGUUCUUGAACUAUGCUAAACUUCUGCACGAUGCUGAACUCCUAGCUACAUUAGCCUUAUACACACCAAACAUGUCUUGUCUCAUUGACUGCAUUUUGGGGGAAAGAACCUCGUGGACAUGUUGUAAACUUGCUAAAAUUCCCUCAAACACCAUCCCUGUUAUAAAAUCCCAGAUUCUUGACAUGGCCCGAUCCAUUAGUGAGUGUGUUCACUUUAUAACACAUACACAAACCACCCUGAAUGUAUUUUACUUUAUUUUAUU